rnacentral:rRNA from 1 species
UACGAGGGGUGCAAGCGUUGCUCGGAAUUAUUGGGCGUAAAGGGUGUGUAGGUUGUCUCGUUUGUCUGAGGUGAAAUCCCCGAGCUUAACUUGGGAAGUGCCUUAGAAACGGCGAGACUAGAGUUCUAUAGAGGGUAGCGGAAUUCCCGGUGUAGCGGUGAAAUGCGUAGAGAUCGGGAGGAACAUCAGAGGCGAAGGCGGCUACCUGGAGAGAUACUGACACUAAAGCACGAAAGCGUGGGGAGCAAACAGG